rnacentral:lncRNA from 1 species
UUAGAUGCUGAUGAUAUAAUUGUGGUAUAAUGAAAAGCAGUCUGGUGAUUAUUCCAUAGAGAAGUUCUCUGCAGAUAAUAUUCAAAUUUACUUUAUUUUGGCAUCUUUUCAAAGAAGCUUCAAGUACAAUAUAAACAGCUGGACGGUGAGGGAGCUGGAUUUUUCAUGGAACUGCAAGAGAAAUGCCGGAGGGAGAUGCUGGGAAUUGCUGGCUGUGUAUUCU